rnacentral:rRNA from 1 species
UACGUAGGGGGCAAGCGUUGUCCGGAUUUAUUGGGCGUAAAGAGCGUGUAGGCGGUUUGGUAGGUCCGCUGUGAAAACUGGAGGCUUAACCUCCAGACGUCGAUGGAAACCGUAUGGCUAGAGUCCGGAAGAGGAGAGUGGAAUUCCUGGUGUAGCGGUGAAAUGCGCAGAUAUCAGGAAGAACACCCGUGGCGAAGGCGGCUCUCUGGGACGGUACUGACGCUGAGACGCGAAAGCGUGGGGAGCGAACAGG